UACAGAGGUCUCGAGCGUUAGGCGGAAUCACUGGGCUUAAAGCGUGUGUAGGCGGAUCGUUAAGUGCCCUGUGAAAUCCCACGGCUCAACCGUGGAACUGCUCGGCAUACUGGCGGUCUUGAGCAACCUAGGGGCGAGCGGAACAAAUGGUGGAGCGGUGAAAUGCGUAGAUAUCAUUUGGAACGCCAAUGGUGAAAACAGCUCGCUGGGGGUUUGCUGACGCUGAGACACGAAAGCCAGGGGAGCAAACGGG
rnacentral:rRNA from 1 species